AUUGAACGCUGGCGGCAGGCCUAACACAUGCAAGUCGAGCGGACGAAGGGAGCUUGCUCCUGGAUUCAGCGGCCGACGGGCGAGUAAUGCAUAGGAAUCUGCCUGGCAGUGGGGGAUAACGUCAGGACGCGGGAGCUAAUACCGUAUACGUCCUUCGGGAGAACGGGAGGGAUCUUCGGACCUCACGCUAUUAGAUGAGCCUAGGUCGGAUUAGCUAGUUGGUGGGGUAAAGGCCUACCAAGGCGACGAUCCGUAACUGGUCUGAGAGGAUGAUCAGUCACACUGGAACUGAGACACGGUCCAGACUCCUACGGGAGGCAGCAGUGGGGAAUAUUGGACAAUGGGCGAAAGCCUGAUCCAGCCAUGCCGCGUGUGUGAAGAAGGUCUUCGGAUUGUAAAGCACUUUAAGUUGGGAAGAAGAGCAGUAAGUUAAUACCUUGCUGUUUUGACGUUACCAACAGAAUAAGCACCGGCUAACUUCGUG
rnacentral:rRNA from 1 species